GAAAAAUCCAAAUUCCGCAGAUCUCUGCGCUACGGGGUAGAACUAAAGAAAAAUUCUGCGGAGUUGAGUUUUCAUUUACAUGGCGCUCUGGUAAGACAGAUCGUGUCAGCUGACUCGGGUUUACGUACCGGUAGGUUUACGUUCUUGACUAAUUUCCGCUUUAAACACCGAAAGGGCAUAUCAAAAAUCGCGUCGACAAAAGUUUCCGUGUAUAAACACAGACUCUGCAACACCCCCUUGUAUGAAUUCGCCUUGUUAAAAACCAACAAAUAAAAAAAGCGAAACGAAGGGAUAAUAAUUCGAGAGAAAAACGGAAAAAAUAAUUGUGAAUUGAAAUUUUUUUAUCUCAAAAUACUUGUUGGAAUCUGAACGUUCCUAAAAUAUUUGUGCAUCAAGAUCAAGAUUGGUGUGUUUGUUGUGAGAAUCCGCAUUACUUCGUUCAAAUUUGUUUAGUUUAUUAUUUAGGAUUUAUGCCGGUGACAAACACGAUGUAGCGAAGUAUUCUAUCAUUCGUGGGUGACAAAACGUGCAGAUAAAUGCGCACUUCACCAGUUAACAAUUGGUAUUUUUAAUGUCAAGUCUAAGUUCCAUGGGUAAGACAUCGCCUUUCGCUGCUGCCCACGUUUUCCAGUUGGAUACCUUUAAGUCCAUUUUUCUAAGUUUUAACAUUCUAUUUGUAAGCAAAAUGUAUUUAACAUUUAAUACACGUUGUUUGUACGUCUAUAAAUCUAUACUAUGUUUGAUUAUACUAUAUACUGUUACUCACAAAAUGA